rnacentral:rRNA from 1 species
AAAUAUAAAGAGUCGAACCUGCCCAGUGAUAUAUAUUUAACGGCCGCGGUACUCUGACCGUGCAAAGGUAGCAUAAUCAUUUGCCUUAUAAUUGAAGGCUUGUAUGAAUGGUUUGACGAGAGCAAAGCUGUCUCUUUUUAAUUCUAUAAAACUUGAUUUUUAGGUGAAGAAGCCUAAAUAAAAUUGAAAGACAAGAAGACCCUAUCGAGCUUUAAAAACUUUUAUUAAUAUGUAAUGAUUGAAAUAAAUCGGCUAUAAUAAAAGAUUUUAGUUGGGGCGACUAAGGAACAAAAAAGCUUCCAUUUUUAAAUUAAAGCAAAUAAGCUAUGAUCCAAAAUUUUUGAUUAAAAGAAUUAGUUACCGUAGGGAUAACAGCAUAAUCUUUUUUGAGAGCUCUUAUCGAAAAAAAGGCUUGUGACCUCGAUGUUGGACUAGAAUAUCCUAAAUGAUGCAGAAGUCUUUAAGGGUUGGUCUGUUCGACC